rnacentral:lncRNA from 10 species
CUGCCAUUCUGAACAUUUACUGUUCGCUUUGGUGAUAGUAAUCAAACCCUAAUCAUGGUGCCGCCACAAGUCACAGAGACCAAAAUAACUUGCAGCAGAGUUAUGACAAACAAGGAUGGAAUCAGCUAAAGACCUGGCUACUUAAUCACCGGCCACUGCCGCCCAGAGGACUGUGGGGCUGCCUCUUGACCGGCUGCUGGCUAGGAAUCUAGAGGAGAGAGGAAGUCGAGGGAAGUUGCUCCAAGGCCCAUGUUUUCUGAGCAGCCAGGGAAGGCAGUAGAGUGCACAGGAAGUGACCGAAAAAGCAGGUGAAUUCUCCACACCUGCCAAGGGGAGAGGCAGGCUUCUGGAGGGGCCUGACUUGAGAGAGAAAGAGGAGGGGAAAAAAAUCUCCAAAACUCUUGACACCUCAAAACAAUGAUAAGUAAAAGCUGAAAAGUGCCUGUCUAGAGAAGACAGGAUUCUGCCUUUCAGUUCUUUGCUCAUUGUCAGUGGAUUCCAGAAGAGAAGGGCAGAGAGAGGCCCCAAAGCAUGUAUGGAUGUGUGUUGAUGGGAGUGAGGACAGGGGUAAAGAUUUUUUUCUUGCACAAGCCAAAAGAAGAAACCAUUGAGGAGACCAAAAAAGUACUGGAAAACAUCAACAUUUCUUGCACAAUCAUCCCCUGAAAAAUGUGUGAGUGAGCCCUAAACCAUGCACAACUGGCAACAAUACAAAUGGAAGUGAUGGCUUAUGAAAAGAAGACAGUACAAGGAAGGCUGAUGGGACAAUCAACGCUUCUUGGCUUCUCUUGGAAGAACAGGAACAUAAGUGAAUGAAAAUGCAUCUAAUUCACUAUCAAACAAAAAUACUAUAAGCCCGGACUCCACAAAUAUUCUUGGAUUACAGACAAGCUGUCAGCUGAUCCCCAACAUUUGCCAGGUGCCUAUCCAGAGCAUGCAACUAGGUAUCAGGGAUUGGAAUGGGGGCAGGAUGAAAUGAAUGUUGCUAUGGAGGAGAUGAGAAACAUCCAGAAAAGGUAAAGAGUGAGGACAAUAGAGACAUUCAAAUCUACAGUCACAUUUAGAUGCCGUUUCCUCCAAGGAGGGCCCCUGGACAGCUGAAGAACAGAACUGGGAGGGGAAUUUUA